AGCGAACGCUGGCGGCAGGCCUAACACAUGCAAGUCGAACGAACCUUUCGGGGUUAGUGGCGGGCGGGUGAGUAACACGUGGGGACGUGCCUUUAGGUUCGGAAUAACUCAGGGAAACUUGUGCUAAUACCGAAUGUGCCCUUCGGGGGAAAGAUUUAUCGCCUUUAGAGCGGCCCGCGUCUGAUUAGCUAGUUGGUUGAGGUAAUGGCUCACCAAGGCGACGAUCAGUAGCUGGUCUGAGAGGAUGAUCAGCCACAUUGGGACUGAGACACGGCCCAAACUCCUACGGGAGGCAGCAGUGGGGAAUCUUGCGCAAUGGGCGAAAGCCUGACGCAGCCAUGCCGCGUGAAUGAUGAAGGUCUUAGGAUUGUAAAAUUCUUUCACCGGGGACGAUAAUGACGGUACCCGGAGAAGAAGCCCCGGCUAACUUCGUG
rnacentral:rRNA from 1 species